ACUGCGGUAGCUCAGUUGGUAAGAGCAUCGCACGCGUAAUGCGAAGGCGUGGGUUCGUGUCCCACCCACCUGCAGCC